UGCCAGCCGCCGCGGUAAGACGAACCGUCCAAACGUUAUUCGGUAUCACUGGGCUUAAAGCGUGCGUAGGCGGCUUGGUAGGUGAGAUGUGAAAGCCCACGGCUCAACCGUGGAAUUGCGUUUCAAACCCCCAAGCUCGAGGAAGAUAGGGGUGAUGGGGACUUAUGGUGGAGCGGUGAAAUGCGUUGAUAUCAUAGGGAACACCGGUGGCGAAAGCGCAUCACUGGAUCUUAACUGACGCUGAGGCACGAAAGCCAGGGGAGCAAACAGGAUUAGAUA
rnacentral:rRNA from 1 species